UGAGGCAGGAGAAUGGCUUGAACCCAGGAAGUGGAGGCUGCAGUGAGCCGAGAUCGCGCCACUUCACUCCAGCCUGGGUGACAGAGCUAGACUCCAUCU
rnacentral:miRNA from 1 species